CAAAAACAUUGCCGCCUGAUUUGUGUAUAGGUGGUAAGUUCUGCCCGGUGAGAUACGUCUUAAACGGCCGCGUUAGCGUGAGCGUGCUAAGGUAGCAUGGUAAGUUGCCUCUUAAUGGGGGGCUGGUAUGAAAGGAUUUUCGUAACCCCUGCUGUCUCCAAUAUAAAAUAAUAAAUUAGGCUUCAGGUGAAGACACCUGGAUGAAAUUAAAGGACAAGAAGACCCCGUUGAGCUUUAGUUCAAAGUUAUUGUGGAAAGUAAUGGUGGGGCUUUGGCUGGGGCGGCAGAUGUCCAUCUAGAGCGACUUUUUGAUAUAUUAAUAGGUGUUAUAUCGGAGUGAAAGAGCCGCUGCAAGCAUGAAGAAGAAAAGCUACCACGGGGGUAACAGGCUAAUCUACUCAAAGAGUACACAUUGAUGAGUAGGUUUGGCACCUCGAUGUUGGCUCAAGGUUUCCCGCAGGUGCAGGAGUCUGCAAAGGUAGGUAUGUUCGCCCUUUAAAACCUUACGUGAUCUG
rnacentral:rRNA from 1 species